GAUGAACGCUGGCGGCGUGCCUAAUACAUGCAAGUCGAGCGAAGCGGGGACGGGUGCGUAACACGUGGAUAAACUCCUAAAAGACUGGGAUAACUUCGGGAAACCGGAGCUAAACCGGAUACUCAGAGAUGGAUCCGCGAUGCAUUAGCUAGUUGGUAAGGUAUCGGCUUACUAAGGGCACGAUGCAUAGCCGACCUGAGAGGGUGAUCGGCCACACUGGAACUGAGACACGGCCCAGACUCCUACGGGAGGCAGCAGUAGGGAAUCUUCGGCAAUGGGCGAAAGCCUGACCGAGCAACGCCGCGUGAGUGAUGAAGGUCUUCGGAUCGUAAAACUCUGUUAUUAGGGAAGCGGUACCUAACCAGAAAGCCACGGCUAACUACGUGCCAGCAGCCGCGGUAAUUC
rnacentral:rRNA from 1 species